rnacentral:rRNA from 1 species
GAUGAACGCUGGCGGCGUGCCUAAUACAUGCAAGUCGAGCGAACGGACGAGAAGUUUGCUUCUCUGAUGUUAGCGGCGGACGGGUGUGUAACAUGUGGAUAACCUACCUAUAAGACUGGGAUAAAUUCGGGAAACCGGAGCUAAUACCGGAUGAUAUUUUGAACCGCAUGGUUCAAAAGUGAAAGACGGUCUUGCUGUCACUUAUAGAUGGAUCCGCGCUGCAUUAGCUAGUUGGUAAGGUAACGGCUUACCAAGGCAACGAUGCAUAGCCGACCUGAGAGGGUGAUCGGCCACACUGGAACUGGGACACGGUCCAGACUCCUACGGGAGGCAGCAGUAGGGAAUCUUCCGCAAUAGGCGAAAGCCUGACGGAGCAACGCCGCGUGAGUGAUGAAGGUCUUCGGAUCGUAAAACUCUGUUAUUAGGGAAGAACAUAUGUGUAAGUAACUGUACACAUCUUGACGGUACCUAAUCAGAAAGCCACGGCUAACUACGUG